AGAGUUUGAUCAUGGCUCAGGACGAACGCUGGCGGCGCGCCUAAUGCAUGCAAGUCGAGCGACGCAUAUCGGAGGAGUAAUCCACUGGUAUGACGGAGCGGCGAACGGGUGAGUAUCACGUGAGAAACCUGCCCCGAAGAUCGGGAUAGCCCGGGGAAACCCGGAUUAAUACCGGAUAAUCUCUACAGAUCGCAUGGUCUGUUGAGGAAAUGCCUUUGUGCUUCGGGAUGGUCUCGCGACCUAUCAGCUAGUUGGUGAGGUAACGGCUCACCAAGGCAACGACGGGUAGCUGGUCUGAGAGGACGAUCAGCCACACUGGGACUGAGACAAGGUCCAGUCCCCUACGGGGGCCAGCAGUCUAGAAAUUUGCGCAAUGGGGGCAACCCUGACGCAGCGACGCCACGUGGAGGAUGAAGCCCCUAGGGGUGUAAACUCCUGUCAGAAGGAAAGAACGCAUGCAAUAACUUUGUGUGUUUGACGGUACCUUCAAAGGAAGCCCCGGCUAACCUCGUGCCAGCAGCCGCGGUAAUACGAGGGGGGCAAGCGUUGUUCGGAUUUACUGGGCGUAAAGGGCGCGCAGGCGGAUCGUUAAGUCCUCUGUGAAAUCUGUCGGCUCAACCAGCAGUCUGCAGACGAAACUAACGGUCUUGAGUAUGGGAGAGGAAAGCGGAAUCUCUGGUGUAGCGGUGAAAUGCGUAGAUAUCAGAGAGAACACCGGUGGCGAAGGC
rnacentral:rRNA from 1 species